AAUUAUCCGCUUCUAUCCACACUCGCAAGUCCCAAGCCGCUCCAACGGCAGCCAUGGCUUCCACAAUCACCUUCCUUUCCCUCUCUCCCACCGCCACCUUCCUCCACAUCCCGGCCUCCACCUCCUCCUCCUUCGUCGCCGCUCCCGGAAUCCUCACCAGCCGCCGGCGGGCAGCGCCCCGCGCCCUCCCGCUCCGCGCCCGCCCGCUGCGCCGCGUCACCGUCGUCUGCAGCGGCGCCGCUGCGGCAGCCGAGGCGUCAGAUGCGGCGGCGCCCGCCGAGAAGUUUCGGCUCGACAACCUUGGCCCGCAGAAGGGGUCCCGGCGGCGGCCCAAGCGUAAGGGGCGCGGUAUCGCGGCGGGUCAGGGCGCGAGCUGCGGGUUCGGAAUGCGUGGGCAGAAAUCGCGCUCGGGGCCCGGCGUCCGGCGCGGGUUCGAGGGAGGGCAGAUGCCGCUCUACCGCCGGAUUCCCAAGCUACGCGGCAUUGCCGGCGGAAUGCACAUUGGGUUGCCGAAGUAUGUGCCAUUCAAUUUAAAAGAUAUAGUGCGUGGUGGAUUCAAAGAUGGUGACGAGUUAUCACUGGAGACCCUGAAAUCACGGGGCUUGAUCAAUCCAUCAGGCAGGGAAAGGAAGUUGCCACUGAAGAUUUUAGGGGAUGGUGAUGUAUCAGUCAAGUUGAACAUCAAGGCUGGAGCAUUCUCAGCAUCGGCUAAAGAGAAGCUCGAGGCAGCUGGUUGUAACCUGACUCUAUUGCCUAAACGGAAGAAAUGGCUUUCACAGAAUUAUCUGAAGAACCAAGCCCGUGCAGAAGAGUACUUUGCCAAGAAAAAAGCCGGUGCUGGCGAAUCCGAUGGCACCUCUGCAUAGAAUUCCAAUAUGAUGAUUAAUGUUGUGCUGUCAAAGUCAACACUAGAAACCAUCUGACUAAUCUAUUCCACUGAGUUUCUAUGAAUGUUGUGUGUCAAUGAUUUGACCAGCACGUGUUUUGACCAUGCAUGCAUGCCUGGACCCGUGGAGACACUUUGAAGUUUUGUCAGAAGCAUCCUGCUGAAAUCUGAAGUCUAUUAACGGACGGAUGCUGUACAAACGAUACUAGAAAGAGAGAAUACUGGCAAUUUGUGUGUAGUUACAGCCUUACAGGGAUAUCACGAUCUCGUGUUAAAUUAGACUGCUGAACCCAUGCUUUAAGGUUUCUUAAUUUCUUUUGAAUGCAUGUGACAAA